ACUUGAAUUUGGGUUUUAACUUAGGUUUGGGUGGCGGACGGGUGAGUAACGCGUAAAGAACUUGCCUCACAGCUAGGGACAACAUUUAGAAAUGAAUGCUAAUACCUAAUAUUAUGAUAAUAGGGCAUCCUAUAAUUAUGAAAGCUAUAUGCGCUGUGAGAGAGCUUUGCGUCCCAUUAGCUAGUUGGAGAGGUAACGGCUCACCAAGGCGAUGAUGGGUAGCCGGCCUGAGAGGGUGAUCGGCCACAAGGGGACUGAGACACGGCCCUUACUCCUACGGGAGGCAGCAGUGGGGAAUAUUGGACAAUGGACCGAGAGUCUGAUCCAGCAAUUCUGUGUGCACGAUGAAGUUUUUCGGAAUGUAAAGUGCUUUCAGUUGGGAAGAAAGAAAUGACGGUACCAACAGAAGAAGUGACGGCUAAAUACGUGCCAGCAGCCGCGGUAAUACGUAUGUCACGAGCGUUAUCCGGAUUUAUUGGGCGUAAAGCGCGUCUAGGUGGUUAUAUAAGUCUGAUGUGAAAAUGCAGGGCUCAACUCUGUAUUGCGUUGGAAACUGUAUAACUAGAGUACUGGAGAGGUAAGCGGAACUACAAGUGUAGAGGUGAAAUUCGUAGAUAUUUGUAGGAAUGCCGAUGGGGAAGCCAGCUUACUGGACAGAUACUGACGCUGAAGCGCGAAAGCGUGGGUAGCAAACAGGAUUAGAUACCCUGGUAGUCCACGCUGUAAACGAUGAUUACUAGGUGUUGGGGGUCGAACCUCAGCGCCCAGCAAACGCGA
rnacentral:rRNA from 1 species